UGGAGAACCUGCAUUUCUAACAAGUUCCCAGGCGAUGCUGAUGUUUCUCGUCCAGCGACCACACUUUGAAAACUUCUGCUUAGCAGAUACUGCCAAACUGUUUUCCAAAGUAUUUGUACCAAUUUACCAUCCCACCAAGAUGAGAGUGCCAGUUGCUCUGCUUGGUAUUAUCCUCCUUUUAAAUUCCGGUCAUAUGGAUGGAGAUGGAAGGUGAAAAGUCAAUAUGUGGGGCAUGGAACCUUCUAGAAGAGCAACUGAUGUUGUCUCUCCACUUCUCCAAGAAGCCCGCUGAACAUGUGUAUUCAUCAGAGCCUCAGAUGCCACAGGAACUUGGAAAGGCUGAGCAGAAAGGAGGGGGUGCAGCAGGAAGCAACAUAUCUCAAAUCAGAACCAACUCACGGAGGCUGGCCCCCAAAGUUGUCACUGCUGCAGCCUACUGCAAUGUAGUCGGGUCAGGUGGAGUUCCCCAACUGGACGAAGAGCACCAUCAACAUUGACUGGCAAUACUUCAGAGGCCUUUUGGUGAUUGUUAGACUGGGCAGGACAGGAGGUGACACUGUGCAAUGAUUGAAAAAGAGACUCUGAAAAGAUAGAGAAAGGAGAAGGAACUGGUGGUUUUGAAAUAGAACUGUGGAUAGAGGGGGUCAGGGGAAGAAGAGGAUGGAGGACAUUCAUCUUCAGAAGAAAGCAUCAGGGGUCCUGGCUCUUGAAGAGAGGAAGGGAGACAGGGUAGGUGCUGGUUGCAUGGGGAAAGAUGACAGAGCAUGGAUAUGAGACCCAAGCACCCCCAAUAACUGGGAUUGGACAUUUCUAGUCAGUCUGCCUAUGAGGAGAGUGAUAAAGCCUGGUGGGGAUAUUUGAUGGAUGAACCAAGGAAGAAGUAUGUGAGGUGAGAUUUUUAUAAAGAUGUGGUGGAAGACCAAUGAGAUUGUGAAUCAGGGAUGGAAAAUGUAGGACGUGUUUACUUCCUCUUUGGGCAGGAAAAGAAGAAAAGAAAACCCAUUGGCUUUAGAAUUUUUAUAUGUUUGCUAAGUGAAGUGACAAAAUGGCGUCUGAGAAGAGACCUUUGAGACACACCAGUUGAAAGAGGAAUGAUGGUGAGAAGCUAUUAGUGUUUAAGGGCUCCCUGAACCUGUGAGAGAUAAGAUUGGGUUUGGCUCAGGAAGGAGGACAAAAGUUAAAGGUCCAGGGACAAGUGAGCUAAAUCCAACCGUUUUUAUGGGAGAAGAGGAAGAAGAAAGAAGUGGGAUCCCCCAAAUAAUAAAAAAGUAGGAGUCCAGAAAGCGAAAGAAAAGGCCUCAAUGAGUGUGAAGUGAGCCAAGAACUCUGGAUUUGAACCCAGAGUCAAGUCUUUCCAUCGGUGUUCCAUGGGCGAGUACUAGCUUCUC
rnacentral:lncRNA from 1 species